CCUGGCUCAGAUUGAACGCUGGCGGCAGGCCUAACACAUGCAAGUCGAGCGGAUGAAGGGAGCUUGCUCCCGGAUUCAGCGGCGGACGGGUGAGUAAUGCCUAGGAAUCUGCCUGGUAGUGGGGGAUAACGUUCAUAAAGGAACGCUAAUACCGCAUACGUCCUACGGGAGAAAGCAGGGGACCUUCGGGCCUUGCGCUAUCAGAUGAGCCUAGGUCGGAUUAGCUAGUUGGUGAGGUAAUGGCUCACCAAGGCGACGAUCCGUAACUGGUCUGAGAGGAUGAUCAGUCACACUGGAACUGAGACACGGCCCAGACUCCUACGG
rnacentral:rRNA from 1 species